rnacentral:sRNA from 1 species
GCGUCUAACACGCCAACAGCCACUACAACUACAACGUCAACAGUCAUCACAACGCCAACAAUUACUAUCACACCAACAGCCACUAAAACUACAGCGUCAACAACAACUACAACGCCAACAAUCACAACAGCUACAACACAAACAAUCACUAACACGCCAACAGCGUCUAACACGCCAACAGCCACUACAACUACAACGUCAACAACCACUAACACGCCAACAGCGUUUAACACGCCAACAGCCACUACAACUACAACGCCAACAGCCACUACAACUACAACGCCAACAAUCACUAACACGCCAACAGCGUCUAACACGCCAACAGCCACUACAACUACAACGUCAACAGUCAUCACAACGCCAACAAUUUCUAACACACCAACAGCCACUAAAACUACAGCGUCAACAACAACUACAACGCCAACAAUCACAACAGCUACAACGCCAACAAUCACAAACACGUCAACAGCGUCUAACACUCAAACAAUCACUACAGCUACAACGCCAACAAUCACUUACACGCCAACAGCGUCUAACACGCCAACAGCCACUACAACUACAACGUCAACAGUCAUCACAACGCCAACAAUUACUAACACACCAACAGCUACUAAAACUACAGCGUCAACAACAACUACAACGCCAACAAUCACAACAGCUACAACGCCAACAAUCACUUACACGUCAACAGCGUCUCAGACGCCAACAGCCACUACAACUACAACGUCAACAACCACUAACACGCCAACAGUGUCUAACACGCCAACAGCCUCUACAACUACAACGUCAACAACCAAUACAAUGCAAGCAACCACUUACACGCCAACAGCAACUACAACGACAACAACCACUCACACGCCAACAAUCACUACAACUACAACGCCAACAACCACUACAACGUCAAAAACCACUCACACGCCAAAAGCGUCAAACACGCCAACAGCCACUACAACUACAGCGUCAACAACCACUACAACGUCAACAGCCACUACAACGCCAACAAUUGCUUACACGCUUACAGCCACUCCAACUUCAACGUCAACGACCACUACAAUGCUAACGGCCACUAACACGCCAACAGCCACUACAACUAUAACGUCAACAGUCAUUACAACGCCAACAAUUUAAUAACACGCCAACAGCCACUACACCUACAACGUCAACAACCGCUACAACGCCAACAAUAACUAACACGCAACUUAAACACAAAAAACAAUUACAUCACCAAAAACCAUUACACAGCCAACAAAGACUACAACCAUUACAAAGUCAACAACUACUACAUCAACCACAACAAUAACAACAACGAUAACAACAACUACAACACAAGCAACCAUGACAAUGUCAACACCUACAACAAUACCGUCAACGAUUACCAAGCCAACAAUCACUACACUUACAAUGAAAGCCACCACUAAGACACCACCAUCAACUACAUCAACAAAACUCAUUACAUCACUAACAAUAACUACAAUGACGACAACAAUCAUGACAUCAACAACCUCUCAAAUUACAACAACGACUCCAACCGCUUCAAAAACAACAACAACCAACUCGAUAACAACUACAACGUCAACAACCAUUUCCAAUUACAACAACACUACAACCACUUCAACAACAACAACAACCUCGCCAACAUUCACUCAAACCACUCUAUCUACAACGUCAACAUUAACUACAACACAAACAACCACUCCAUCAACAACGCCAACACCCACAAUAAUGCCAACGACGACUAUAAUCACUAAAAAGCAAAGAACCACUACAACUUCAUACAGGAUAGCACAAUUAGUUUACAAAACUAGUUCACAUUGUAGUCCUGAAAACGAAUUUACAGACAGCAACUAUAUACAGAAACUUAUAGAGCAUACAAAACAUGUAUUUCUGAGAGAUAAAUAAAUAUGCAUUAUAUGUGCUUUAAACUACAUGUAAUUGCCUAAAAUAAAGCCAUACAUUC